CUCAUUUCGGAAAAUCAAAGCGCUUUUAUUCCAGGGAGGCUCAUAUCUGACAACUCCAUCAUUGCCUUUGAGUGUAUUCAUCAUAUCCAGGUAGCAAAAAACAAUUCUCCCGCCUUAUGUGCCUAUAAGCUUGAUCUAUCCAAGGCCUAUGAUCGGGUGGAUUGGGAGUUUUUGGAGAAGGCUUUAGCUAAAUGGGGCUUUUCUCAGAUCUGGAUUUCUCGUGUGAUGGCAUGUGUGUCUUCGGUGAAAUAUUCGGUAAAAUUUAAUGGCAAGUUAUUGGAGGCGUUCACCCCCUCCAGGGGGCUCCGCCAAGGUGAUCCGCUGUCCCCCUUUCUC
rnacentral:rRNA from 1 species